rnacentral:rRNA from 1 species
UUGAACGCUGGCGGCAGGCCUAACACAUGCAAGUCGAGCGGAUGAAGGGAGCUUGCUCUCUGAUUCAGCGGCGGACGGGUGAGUAAUGCCUAGGAAUCUGCCUGGUAGUGGGGGACAACGUCUCGAAAGGGACGCUAAUACCGCAUACGUCCUACGGGAGAAAGCAGGGGACCUUCGGGCCUUGCGCUAUCAGAUGAGCCUAGGUCGGAUUAGCUAGUUGGUGAGGUAAUGGCUCACCAAGGCGACGAUCCGUAACUGGUCUGAGAGGAUGAUCAGUCACACUGGAACUGAGACACGGUCCAGACUCCUACGGGAGGCAGCAGUGGGGAAUAUUGGACAAUGGGCGAAAGCCUGAUCCAGCCAUGCCGCGUGUGUGAAGAAGGUCUUCGGAUUGUAAAGCACUUUAAGUUGGGAGGAAGGGUUGUAGAUUAAUACUCUGCAAUUUUGACGUUACCGACAGAAUAAGCACCGGCUAACUCUGU